rnacentral:rRNA from 1 species
GGUGAACGCUGGCGGCGUGCUUAAGACAUGCAAGUCGAACGGGCUCUUCGGAGCUAGUGGCGCACGGGUGAGUAACGCGUAACUGACCUACCCCAAAGUCGCGGAUAACGGUUCGAAAGAAUCGCUAAUACGUGAUGUGCUGCUCCCUCGUGUGGGAUCAGUAAAGGUUGACUGCUUUGGGAUGGGGUUGCGUUCCAUCAGCUAGUUGGUAGGGUAAAGGCCUACCAAGGCGACGACGGAUAGCCGGCCUGAGAGGGUGGCCGGCCACAGGGGCACUGAGACACGGGCCCCACUCCUACGGGAGGCAGUAGUUAGGAAUCUUCCACAAUGGGCGAAAGCCUGAUGGAGCGACGCCGCGUGAGGGAUGAAGGUUUUCGGAUCGUAAACCUCUGAAUCAGGGACGAAAGACGCUUUAUGCGGGAUGACGGUACCUGAGUAAUAGCACCGGCUAACUCCGUGCCAGCAGCCGCCGUAAAAC